rnacentral:rRNA from 1 species
CCUACGGGUGGCAGCAGUGGGGAAUAUUGCACAAUGGGCGCAAGCCUGAUGCAGCCAUGCCGCGUGUGUGAAGAAGGCCUUCGGGUUGUAAAGCACUUUCAGCGGGGAGGAAGGCGGUGAGGUUAAUAACCUCAUCGAUUGACGUUACCCGCAGAAGAAGCACCGGCUAACUCCGUGCCAGCAGCCGCGGUAAUACGGAGGGUGCAAGCGUUAAUCGGAAUUACUGGGCGUAAAGCGCACGCAGGCGGUCUGUCAAGUCGGAUGUGAAAUCCCCGGGCUCAACCUGGGAACUGCAUUCGAAACUGGCAGGCUAGAGUCGUGUAGAGGGGGGUAGAAUGCCAGGUGUAGCGGUGAAAUGCGUAGAGAUCUGGAGGAAUACCGGUGGCGAAGGCGGCCCCCUGGACAAAGACUGACGCUCAGGUGCGAAAGCGUGGGGAGCAAACAGGAUUAGAUACCCUAGUAGUC